CAAGCUGAAACCUGCUUGUUUGCUCUUUAAUGGAUUUUAUAAAAUAGUUGUGGGCUGCUCCAGCAUAGGCCUGUAUGUAUCAAAUCUCCUUAUCCAAAUACAAAAUAAACCCUAAUUCAUUUAGAAAUAAGAACAGAUAGAAAUGGUUAUAAGCUUCUUAAGAUGGAAGACGCCACAUAUGCCCCAGAAAAAAGUACAAAGGCAUCGCUUGGUACUUGGUACUCGUAUUUCAUUUUUUUGGGGGUUUGUUUCAAUGAAGUUUAAUCUUAAAUGGUUCCUCAUUCACUGUUAAUUUCGAACCGUCUAUUUGGUUUCAACAAUCAGUGAUUGGCCAUGAUGACACAAAGGCCGGACUUACGGCUGCUACUGCUUUUCCCUUGUGUGGUAGUAGUAUGAUGUUUGUUGCGAUAAGCUGAUCAGCAAUGAUUCCUUUUAGGCUUGUUCUCUUCUGAACUUCAAAUUACAUCCUUUAUAAGAGAUUUGAUCAAGCUAUUGUGUAGGGUUUGUAAGAUUUUGCAUUUUCAUUACAUCAUUGACAUAUGGUUCCAUGUAAAUUCUGAUAUAUCAACUUCUAACAAAGCAUUUUUGGCUAUGCCUCAAUGCUAUGUAUAAAACACUACUGUUGUUGCUUUUUUGUUUUUACUAAUCAUGUUUAAAA